CCUACGGGUGGCAGCAGUGAGGAAUAUUGGUCAAUGGUCGGGAGACUGAACCAGCCAAGCCGCGUGAGGGAUGAAGGUACAGAGUAUCGUAAACCUCUUUUGUCAGGGAACAAAGGCGGGGACGUGUCCCCGGCUGAGUGUACCUGAAGAAAAAGCAUCGGCUAACUACGUGCCAGCAGCCGCGGUAAUACGGAGGAUGCGAGCGUUAGCCGGUUUUAUUGGGUUUAAAGGGUGCGAAGGCGGCCUGUUAAGUCAGCGGUAAAAGCCCGGGGGUCAACCCCGGCGAGCCGUUGAAACGGGCGGGCUGGAGUUGGAGAGAGGUACGCGGAAGGCGCGGUGCAGCGGUGAAAUGCUUAGAUAUCGCGCAGAACCCCGAUUGCGAAGGCAGCGUACCGGCUCCACACUGACGCUGAGGCACGAAAGCGUGGGUAUCGAACAGGAUUAGAUACCCCGGUAGUC
rnacentral:rRNA from 1 species